rnacentral:rRNA from 1 species
CUUGCUAAGUUUGAUGGCGACCGGCGCACGGGUGAGUAACACGUAUCCAACCUGCCGAUGACUCGGGGAUAGCCUUUCGAAAGAAAGAUUAAUACCCGAUGGCAUAGUUCUUCCGCAUGGUGGAACUAUUAAAGAAUUUCGGUCAUCGAUGGGGAUGCGUUCCAUUAGGUUGUUGGCGGGGUAACGGCCCACCAAACCGACGAUGGAUAGGGGUUCUGAGAGGAAGGUCCCCCACAUUGGUACUGAGACACGGACCAAACUCCUACGGGAGGCAGCAUG